rnacentral:rRNA from 1 species
UGGCGACCGGCGCACGGGUGAGUAACACGUAUCCAACCUGCCGAUGACUCGGGGAUAGCCUUUCGAAAGAAAGAUUAAUACCCGAUGGCAUAGUUCUUCCGCAUGGUAGAACUAUUAAAGAAUUUCGGUCAUCGAUGGAGAUGCGUUCCAUUAGCUUGUUGGCGGGGUAACGGCCCACCAAGGCAUCGAUGGAUAGGGGUUCUGAGAGGAAGGUCCCCCACAUUGGAACUGAGACACGGUCCAAACUCCUACGGGAGGCAGCAG